GUCGAACGGAAAGGCCCUGCUUUUGUGGGGUGCUCGAGUGGCGAACGGGUGAGUAACACGUGAGUAACCUGCCCUUGACUUUGGGAUAACUUCAGGAAACUGGGGCUAAUACCGGAUAGGAGCUCCUGCUGCAUGGUGGGGGUUGGAAAGUUUCGGCGGUUGGGGAUGGACUCGCGGCUUAUCAGCUUGUUGGUGGGGUAGUGGCUUACCAAGGCUUUGACGGGUAGCCGGCCUGAGAGGGUGACCGGCCACAUUGGGACUGAGAUACGGCCCAGACUCCUACGGGAGGCAGCAGUGGGGAAUAUUGCACAAUGGGCGGAAGCCUGAUGCAGCAACGCCGCGUGCGGGAUGACGGCCUUCGGGUUGUAAACCGCUUUCGCCUGUGACGAAGCGUGAGUGACGGUAAUGGGUAAAGAAGCACCGGCUAACUACGUGCCAGCAGCCGCGGUGAUACGUAGGGUGCGAGCGUUGUCCGGAUUUAUUGGGCGUAAAGGGCUCGUAGGUGGUUGAUCGCGUCGGAAGUGUAAUCUUGGGGCUUAACCCUGAGCGUGCUUUCGAUACGGGUUGACUUGAGGAAGGUAGGGGAGAAUGGAAUUCCUGGUGGAGCGGUGGAAUGCGCAGAUAUCAGGAGGAACACCAGUGGCGAAGGCGGUUCUCUGGGCCUUUCCUGACGCUGAGGAGCGAAAGCGUGGGGAGCGAACAGGCUUAGAUACCCUG
rnacentral:rRNA from 1 species